rnacentral:rRNA from 1 species
AGCAGCCGCGGUAAUUCCAGCUCCAAUAGCGUAUAUUAAAGUUGUUGCAGUUAAAAAGCUCGUAGUUGAAUUUCGGGAUCAGUUCGCUGGUCGUGCCUCUGGUAUGUACUGGUGUUACUGGUUCCUCCCUUCUGACGAACUGUCAUGUCAUUAAUUUGGUGUGGCGGGGAAUCAGGACUGUUACUUUGAAAAAAUUAGAGUGUUUAAAGCAGGCUCGCGCUUGAAUACAUUAGCAUGGAAUAAUGAAAUAGGACGUUCGAUCCUAUUUUGUUGGUUUCUAGGAUUGACGUAAUGAUUAAUAGGGAUAGUUGGGGGCAUUAGUAUUCAAUUGUCAGAGGUGAAAUUCUUGGAUUUAUUGAAGACUAACUACUGCGAAAGCAUUUGCCAAGGAUGUUUUCAUUAAUCAAGAACGAAAGUUAGGGGAUCGAAGACGAUCAGAUACCGUCGUAGUCUUAACCAUAAACUAUGCCGACUAGGGAUCGGAUGAUGUUAAUUUUUAAUUGACUCAUUCGGCGCCUUA